CGGCGCUGGGAGCGGUGCGCGGAGAUGGGCGCACGCGGGGUCUGGGACCGAGCAAGCGUGUCCGGUCCGCGCGGGUCCGCGGCACCGCCGAGGAGGCGGAGACAAGAGCCCGGGAGGACGAGCGAGGAUGCCCCAGCCGGGCUGCCUCGGAGGCCCAGGAAGGCCGGGAUCUCGAGAACUGUGCUGACUCCGCCAGUAAAGGCAGCGGGGAGCCUCCUCCGGUGUGUGGCGACCGUGGGGGCUCGGGGUUCCCUUGGCCUUCCACUCACACUGCCUUCGUGAAAAGAUGCCGCCCGGGGACUUUUGCCAGCCGAUCGAGGGAACCUCGAACUUCAGCCUGAGACCUUGGGCUUUGCGAGGCCGGGCUCUGGGACGCGGGAAGCGGCCGCGCGGGGCCCGGGUGCGGUCAGGUCGUGCAGCACUGCGGCGUGGGCCAGGCGCGAUCCCGCUCUGCUGCUGCAGGUGGCGCGCGAACGCGGCGCCCCCAGAGGAUGGAGAUGAGGGGCGGGGACUGGCCCGUCAGCCCCGCCCCACGAGGGCGGCCCGGACCCGGUUCGAAGGAGCGCGCGCGCGCGCGCGCCCAGUGUCGAGGCUUCCCUGAGCACGUGCGUCCGCGCUGGCGGGUUCCCUGUGCUGGAUCAUCUCCCAGCCUAGGUCUUUCAGCUGAUUGGCCACAGCCACCUGGAUCAUCAAGUAUCAUCCUUUCCUUAAAGUUGACUGGUCAGAGAUGUUCUUCGCACCUACAAAACACCUUCACAGAAAUACCCAGAUUAGGGCCUGGGGUUGUGGCUCAGUGGUAGAGCACUCACCUAGCACGAGCAAGGCCCUGGGUUCAAUCCUCAGCACCAUAUAAAAAAUAAAUAAAUAAAAUAUUGUGUCCAA